rnacentral:rRNA from 1 species
AUACGUAGGUGGCGAGCGUUGUCCGGAAUUACUGGGUGUAAAGGGCGUGUAGGCGGCCUUUCAAGUCGGCUGUGAAAUACCCCGGCUCAACCGGGGGGGUGCAGUCGAAACUGGGGGGCUUGAGUGCAGGAGAGGGGGGUGGAAUUCCCGGUGGAGCGGUGAUAUGCGUAGAUAUCGGGAGGAACACCGGUGGCGAAGGGGACCUUCUGGCCUGUUACUGACGCUGAGGCGCGAAAGCCGGGGGAGCAAACAGGAUUAGAUACCCUGGUAGUCCCGGCCGUAAACGCUGGGUACUAGGUGUAGGGGGCUUUGAUGCCUUCUGUGCCGUAGUUAACGCAUUAAGUACCCCGCCUGGGGAGUACGAUCGCAAGGUUGAA